rnacentral:rRNA from 1 species
CGUAGCAAUACGUCAGCGUCAGACGGGUGAGUAACGCGUGGGAACGUACCUUUUGGUUCGGAACAACACAGGGAAACUUGUGCUAAUACCGGAUAAGCCCUUACGGGGAAAGAUUUAUCGCCGAAAGAUCGGCCCGCGUCUGAUUAGCUAGUUGGUGAGGUAACGGCUCACCAAGGCGACGAUCAGUAGCUGGUCUGAGAGGAUGAUCAGCCACAUUGGGACUGAGACACGGCCCAAACUCCUACGGGAGGCAGCAGUGGGGAAUAUUGGACAAUGGGCGCAAGCCUGAUCCAGCCAUGCCGCGUGAGUGAUGAAGGCCCUAGGGUUGUAAAGCUCUUUUGUGCGGGAAGAUAAUGACGGUACUGCAAGAAUAAGCCCCGGCUAACUUCGUGCCAGCAGCCGCGGUAAUACGAAGGGGGCUAGCGUUGCUCGGAAUCACUGGGCGUAAAGGGUGCGUAGGCGGGUCUUUAAGUCAGGGGUGAAAUCCUGGAGCUCAACUCCAGAACUGCCUUUGAUACUGAGGAUCUUGAGUUCGGGAGAGGUGAGUGGAACUGCGAGUGUAGAGGUGAAAUUCGUAGAUAUUCGCAAGAACACCAGUGGCGAAGGCGGCUCACUGGCCCGAUACUGACGCUGAGC